rnacentral:tRNA from 1 species
AAAAAUUUAGUUAAAAAAUAACAUUAGUUUGUCAAACUAAAAUCACAGAAUAAGUAGUUUUUU